rnacentral:rRNA from 1 species
UAAGGAAUAUUGGUCAAUGGGCGGAAGCCUGAACCAGCCAUGCCGCGUGCGGGAAGAAGGCCCUACGGGUUGUAAACCGCUUUUCCCCGGGAAGAAUAACCCCGACGCGUCGGGGGAUGCCGGUACCGGGGGAAUAAGGAUCGGCUAACUCCGUGCCAGCAGCCGCGGUAAUACGGAGGAUCCGAGCGUUAUCCGGAUUUACUGGGUUUAAAGGGUGCGUAGGCGGCCCUGCAAGUCAGCGGUGAAAUGUGGCGGCUCAACCGUUUCGCUUCCGCUGAUACUGUAGGGCUUGGAUGCGGUCGAGGCGGGUGGAAUUCGUGGUGUAGCGGUGAAAUGCAUAGAUAUCACGAGGAACGCCGAUAGCGAAGGCAGCUCGCCGGGCCGCGAUCGACGCUGAGGCACGAAAGCGUGGGGAUCAAACA